UCUGUCCGCAACUUUACCUCUUUCUUCUUCUUCUUCAAUGGUGGUAGGAGGGUCACCGGAGAAAACUUGUCCAACACCCCCCCCCCCCCCCCCCCCCCUCAAGUUGGAGGGGGCAGUAUGCAGACCCAACUUGCCCAAAAUGUGCCGGUGAGUGGGACCAUUUAGAGGUUUAUUGAAAAUAUCUGCGAUUUGUGAGUUUGAGGGUACAAAAGCGAGGGAAAUGAGUCCGGCAAGGUAUUGUUACUGGACAAAAUGGCAAUCUAGAUCCACGUGCUUCGUUCUUUCAUGAAACAUGGGAAUUUUAGCGAUGUGAAGAGUCGUCGCGAGUCUGAGUAUAAGGAGAUCGGAAGAGGUGGUGAAAAGGAUAGAUCUUCAAAGAGGCGAACAAGCCAAGUGAUUUCUGCGACUACUCGGCGCAUCAAUCGGUAUUUAGCCUCCGCCGAGGAGAGGGAAACAGAGACUUGUUUCUUGGAAUUCCAAGAAAUUGGCCAGUCUCCAAAGUUGAUGAAGUAUUCGCUAAUGGAACGACGACUUUCCGGGCAAGUGGCCCAGUCGGCAUCACAAAAGGCCCUUAACUCGAAGUUUGGAGAAGAAGACAUAAAAAGACCAAGGCCAGGAUCUAAAAGGACAAAGCUCAAAAUGUGAAUACCAGUAUCAAAAUGGGGUUCUCGAGGUGAUUGCACAUAUUAGCUUAAAUGUUGCACACAAAAUGAAAGAUCUGGUCGGAUGGAUCUAAUGGAGAAGAAGCUGGAUGAAGAUCAAGGCAAUUGAACUCACUCAACAUUUCCAUGGCAAAUUUCCUCUGGUUCAAGAUCAGACUCUGAGGUUCUCGGAGUACUUCUAUUCCCAAAACAUAUUGUAAGUUUCCCAAAUCUUUGAUCUUAAAUUCCAAGUCUAGAAAGGCUUUGAUUGAAUGGAUUUCACUUAA